rnacentral:tRNA from 1 species
GGCUUCGUAGCUCAACUGGAUAGAGUGUCGGUUUCCGGAGCCGAAGGUUGGAGGUUCGAACCCUCUCGAGGUCA